CUUUGCAUCCUUUACGAAAUUAUCCGAAGUAGCUCCACAUCAGCACUUCGGAUAAUUUCAGCAACUGUGCCUCAUGUCCCUGCAUAUUGUGUCUGCUCUGCCCACCUGGUGCACACACGCCACCAUCUGGCCCAAACGUGGAAGUUGUUCACUUGACAAAGACUGAGAGAACCUGUGGCAUAUUACCGCUGACAACCUGCUGGUGGGUGCGUCGCCGUGGCGAUCCAACACUGCACGAGCAGCUCACUGCGGCCAACAUGAGGAAAUGAGAGAGACGACAUACUGCCUCGUCCUUGAGAUGCAGAUCAUCCGUGAUCACCUGAUCGUUCCGGACACAGGGAGGGCCAAGCUCUCAUCGACCUCUCGGAGACAGCCUAGCAACACCCUCUGUCCUUAUCCCUGCGGACACCCACACACAGCCUCUCUCUUCUUUGCCAACCUCUCUCUCCCCGCACCCACCCAGACCUUCAGUCCUCAGAGAAGACCCCAGGCCAACAGCGAACAAGGGGCUCCUGAAUGGACCCUGGACCCCCCUUUGUCUGGCCCCACUGCAGAGUGCCUUUAUUUACACAGUCUUUAACGCUGUAUGUUUUCUUGUCCCUUAAUUGCAUUGGCCUUUGCUGCCCCUUGGUCAAUCAAUACCAUCUCUCCAAUGACAUGAGCAACUCCAUUCAGCAGAGCUAUUCCAGGUGACGGUUGUUUCGUGGGAGAGACGGUGGGAAUGAGUCUUGCGAAUAGAUUCGCAGCCCCCCACACCCCACCCCACCCCAACACUCAUGCCAUAAACAUGUCCCAACCAUAGGAACAUACAAUAUCUUUACCUUGAUACAGUAGGUUAUCUAUCGAUCUUCAACCUGUACGCCUUUGUUAAUCCCCAACUGAUGUUCUCCUGCAGACAUGGGGGUCUGCUGCUUCAGCUGCCUGUCAGCUGGCCAGCUCUACACUCUGGAGUCCGUCGGUGAGCCCACUGCAUGAUAAGUCUGGCUGAUGCGGCAAUCACAGCCAUCAAAACAAUUUUUCUGACCCUUGACUUCGGAGGAGAGCGGGAGAAGAGAGGGAGAAAGGGAGUUGACAUGCCUUUACCACUCGUCUCCGUGUGUGUGUGUGUGUGUGUGUGUGACCAAGCACAUUAAUCAUAAGAGGUCCAAUCCUCUCCUGUGUCCAAUUCAGCGAUGAUUCUCUAGUGCAGCAGCAUGGCAAUGUUUAGACAGAGGCGGACAUAAUUAUCUUUUUGUGUACUUUAAUAAGGUGACAUCCGAGUGUUCCGAUGACGGGAGCGCACACAGAAAAACUACAUCACAGUGACAUUAUCCCCUUCAUUCGGUGUAAUUAAAACCUAGAUAAUUAAAUGCCACUAACUAACAUAACUGGUAUGCAAAUUUGAUGAUUCGGUGAGUUGAAGAACAGAAUGAUCUUUCUUCUUUUUUCUGCCAAAUGGGGACCAUUUAAAUUUGACCUUUGGAAAUGUUAUUUUGAAUGCAAUGUGAUGCUGCUGUUUAAUUUGAAGAGGUGCUUAUCUCAAAGUCAACAUCUUACUUCUGUUUUCCUGACGCACACUCAGUCACCAUAUAUUAGGCAGUAGCCUGGCAACCACAAGAGUAGAGCCGAACCAAAUGGAUAUGUUUGCAAUAUGACAGGCCCAGUGUUCUCCUUACCGCUGACCCCGCCUGCCAUUUUGUUUCUGUCCUGCGAAGGUGUCAGUGAUAAACGUUACCUUGUCUCAGCAGGUGUGCCUGGAUGGAGGGCCCUGUCGCACGGAAGGGGUCACCAACCCCACAGCGUUUCCCCCAUUUAUUUGAAUAAUGGGCCAUUAGGGCGGCUGGAUAUCCCACGUUAAAGUAGCUGUAUGUGUCUCCUAGAUAAAAGACAUAAUUACCUGAGUGAGACAGAGAGGAUGUUGUGGUGCACACUUUUCCUCAGCUGGGCUCCAGAGCUCAAUAUCCACACAAACUCCUGCCAUUAGGUGGCGACAGAGAGGGAUUUGGGAGCGCGAGCCAUGGCUUGCACAACAUCACCACUACUACCAGUGCACAGCCAAACUGGGUCAUGAGGUAAAACUGAGAAAAGACACCCUUAGAAAUUGAAUUUGAAAGCCUUGCAUUUUGGCAAAAUUUUGCGGCGAUUACAUUCUGAAAUUUGGGUUUGCCAGUUGGUGUUGAAUUUCAACAGGACCGCACUCAUUCAUCUUUCAAUUCAAUUCUGUUCAAAUAGGCGACGGUAGAUUCAUUUUGUCUCCAGAAUGAAGGUUGUGCUAACUAGUUCCCGGCAAUAACGGCUCUUAUUGAACUGCAUUAUAUCAUAGUGACAGAGAGUGGGCGAGUUGUUUACCUUUGGAUUGCCGAGAGAUUUUUGGUCAGAAUUGUGACUCCUCUUGCCUUUCAUAAUUUCAGUUCAAGAGAGACUUGCCAUGCAGUCAGUAAAAAUGUGGACAGGAAAUUUGGAGUGGUAUUCAUAUGAAACCAAAAGAUUUCCAAUUAAAGAUGAGUUCUUUAUCAUUCAUUUGCCCUUGGGUUUUUUAUUCCUCGAUUGCUAUAAACAUUAUAAAAGCCUCCUUUUAGCGCAAAGAAUAGGGGCCCAUUCUUGUGACCUCCUCUAAUGCAUUUCCACCCAUCUUCGCUGCCUCAAAAAAAGUUUUCACCUCUCCACAAAACAUGUUAAUUGCCAUCAUGGGCCCAGCAUAAAGAAGAUAUCUACACUUUAAUUAUCCAAAUAUGGUGGCAAACCCAUCUGCAGAAAGCCAUUGAAAUUACUAAAUUGUGUUUUCUCCUCUUCGUCUUUCAUUUUGGACACAUUGUUCAUCAAAAGGCUUCAGAAAUGUGCAGAUGGGUAAUCCUUGUGUCUACAAGGAGCAGCCUGGUUCAAGGUGAGCGUUUCAUACCCCUAAGCCCUUCUGUUUCUCUCCAUUGUGUUGUUUAGGUUACAUUUCCUGACACACACACACACACUCUCACACACACAUGGAUACACAAUUUCACUGUUUUAUAUGGUGACACACACACACACACACACACACACCUAGGCACAUGAAAGUUUGGCCUUCAGUGUGUGAUAACCGCUCAUUAUUGAUGUGAUAUUAAGUGGAUUUUAAGUAAAAAAAUAAUAAUUUUGCUUUCAAGUAUUGUGGGACCAAAGCCAAUGUUGAAAUUUAACCCCAAACUAUAAAGAGAUGAACAACAUGCAAUAUUAGCCUGGAAGCACUUUCCUCAAAGAUCUGUGAGGCGAAACCGGCUGAGCAUCCCUCCACGGCGGCUCACAUUGUGUGAAAAAGCCAGCACAAAGACAAAUCAGCCCGACAAAAUCAAUGGGGAGUUUGUCCGUGCAGUAUGACUCAGACGCUCAACCGAGUUAGCGUGUUAUCUUAUGAUUUAUUAUCGUGACAGGCUAUAGGUUCCAGAACGACCUCAGAACAAAGUAUUGUCCUGUUUCAUGCAGAGUCGGAUUCAAGUUUCAAGAGACUUAGCUCAUGUGGGUUGAGGAGAUGGGGAAUAUGUUUUUGCACAUUUCAAUUCCCCAAUAUAAAUCUUGUAUGGAAAUAAAUGUCUCUGAUUGUUUUAAUGGUUAUAUCAUCUUUAUUUAAAUACACUGUGAGCGCUUUUAGUGAAAGUCUACGUACGCACCAUAACAUCCUCCAUGUUGACUGCGUCUUGAAACCUGCAUCCAACUCCCUUCUAUGAUGGGACCACACUUUUUUUCUGGGGACAUUUUUUGACCUACUGUCAUGUUGAUGAAUUGUAUCCAAAAGAUAACAAGUGUUACUGUCACCCUCCACAAAACACUCUUGAUUUGUAUGCGUUGGGUUAGUUUUCACCUAUUUUGCAAAAAUGUGAGAGUUGUUUUUUUUUUCUAAUCAUGUGACCCCAGUUUUUUCCGGGAAAAUCAAAUGCAGAAGAAAAAACUUUAAGGGCAUUCAUUUUCUAUGAAUGCAAAUGUUGGCUGUGUGUCUCUUAUUCUCCAAUUGUUAAGAAGGUGAAUGUGUGUUUUUUUUUUCCAAAACAAAUGAUAUUUGGAAAAAUU